CUGUAUCCCGCGAUAGGGAUGGUAGCGGAUAUCCUUUUUUCGUUGCCUGAGCGUAGUCGAAGGCAAUGAAAAAAGAUAGUAGCGGACAGCCCGACCCGAG
rnacentral:sRNA from 1 species